rfam:Schistosoma margrebowiei strain Zambia genome assembly, scaffold: SMRZ_scaffold0001195
GCACUGCUGAGGAGUGCUACAAUAGGAUGAAACAGCUGUCCAGUGC